rnacentral:rRNA from 1 species
CCCUAUGUUUUUUAUCAAAUAAAUGGCCAAGAUUUGCUAAGGUAGCGUAAUUUCUUGCAUUUUAAAUAGGUGAUUGUUGAAAGGGUUAACCGAAUUUUUUUUUUUUUUUCUUUUUUUUGAAUUUUAAUAUUUGUAAAAAUUCAGAUGAGUUAUAAAAGACGAGAAGACCCUAAAAAUUUUCCAAAUUUUGGUUGAGUGGGGUACUUAUUUUUUUUAUAAAAAUUUUAAGUAAAGAAAAAUAAAAAUUACUUUAGGGGUAACAGGGUGAUUUAAAAUAAAGGUCAUAUUAAAUUUUAGGUUUACUACCUCGAUGUUGAAUUAAGAAAUUUUUUGGUGCAUAAGAUAAAAAUAUA